rnacentral:lncRNA from 1 species
UUUUUAAAAAAAAUUUUAAAAAAUCUUUUGUUUUUAGUUUUAUAUAAUAUGUUUCGAAAUUUGGUAUAUAUUAUUUUUGGGUUCGGAUUUUUGGGUUUAGAAUUGGGCUUCUGGUUUUUGGUCAGAUUCGGGUUUGUUUUGGAUUUGGGUUCGAGUUUUCGGAUUCGGGUUCGGGUUUCGAAUUUUUGGUCGGGUUCGGAUUUCGAUAUGGAUUUUUAAAAUCCAUCGGGUUCGGUUCGGGUUCGGGUUACGGAUUUGGUAGUCGGGUCCGGAUUCGGGUUUUUAAAAAUUCGCCCCGAAUCCGACCCGU